rnacentral:rRNA from 1 species
UGGGGAAUAUUGGACAAUGGGCGAAAGCCUGAUCCAGCCAUGCCGCGUGUGUGAAGAAGGUCUUCGGAUUGUAAAGCACUUUAAGUUGGGAGGAAGGGCAAUAAGCGAAUACCUUGCUGUUUUGACGUUACCGACAGAAUAAGCACCGGCUAACUCUGUGCCAGCAGCCGCGGUAAUACAGAGGGUGCAAGCGUUAAUCGGAAUUACUGGGCGUAAAGCGCGCGUAGGUGGUUCGUUAAGUUGAAUGUGAAAGCCCCGGGCUCAACCUGGGAACUGCAUCCAAAACUGGCGAGCUAGAGUAGGGCAGAGGGUGGUGGAAUUUCCUGUGUAGCGGUGAAAUGCGUAGAUAUAGGAAGGAACACCAGUGGCGAAGGCGACCACCUGGGCUCAUACUGACACUGAGGUGCGAAAGCGUGGGGAGCAAACAGG